GGGCCACCACAAGGUGACAGGAGCCAUGGAAAAGCCAUUGGAAACCAGUAUGAGAUGAUGGGACCUGUAAAAAAUCCAUAUGGGGCCACCACGAGAUGACUGGGACCACGAAAAAUCCAUGUGGGGCCAUUGUGAGGUGAUAGGGGCCAUGAAAAAGGCAUAGGGGGCCACCAUGAGGUGAUGGGGCCAUGAAAAAGCCAUAUGGGGCCACUGUGAGGUGAUGGGGGCCAUGGAAAAGCUAUAGGAGCCACCACGAGAUGAUGGGGGCCAUGAAAAGCCAUAGGAAGCCAUGAUGAGAUGAUGAGAACCAUAAAAAAUCCAUAUGGGGCCACCACAAGAUGAAUGGGACCAUAAAAAAUCCAUGUGGGGGCAUUGUGAGGUGAUAGGGGCCAUGAAAAAGGCAUAGGGGGCCACCAUGAGGUGAUGGGGUCAUGAAAAAGCCAUAGGAAACCACCAUGAGAUGAUGGGAACCAUAAAAAAUCCAUAUGGGGACACCAUGAGGUGAUGGGGACCAUGAAAAAGCCACAUGGGGCCACAACAAGGUGAUAGGAGCCAUGAAAAA